rnacentral:lncRNA from 1 species
CAGGUUCUCAGUUACCCAACUGAUUCUCUGGGACUUUUUUUCCUAGAUCCUUUCACACACAGUCAUGUGUCAUGAGGAAGGAGGACUUUGCUCCACUCAUGCACAGGUCUUGUGAUGUGCGCAGGUAUCUCCUCGUCACAGGAACAGACGCUUGGCCGACAUUCAUCAGGUAAAGACUCUGCUGCAGAUUGCCUCACAGUAGUGCCUCCAUUUCUGUCAACGUCUCCACUAAACUGAUCGUCAGCUCCAUUUUUUUCUUCUUGGCUUCAUCAUAAAUAGAGAUUGUUUUAAAAUUACUUAACAUGUUCCUGCAGACUAAAUCUUCUAAACCUUAAAGACGUCCAUUGAUUAUCUUUUAUGCAUAUUAGGUAAUAUUAUUGGAAAGCCGGACUGCUACAACACGACUGUCAUGGAACUGAAGAGCGACCUGUGGCACACCCAGACGCCGAGCGCUUCCUCUUUACGUGACCAGCCUACCUUGUUCCUUCGGGACAGAUCCACAUCUGUGUCCCAGCUGGUUUCCAGGUAUCAGAUGACAACGGAGAACCAUAGUCAGGAAAAUGCAGAAAUCAAAGCAGAAGCAAUAGCAAAACAGAUGUCAUCGCUGGUGACUACAAAGCCUCACGUAGAAGCGUUGGACAGAGGAAAUGACAACAAGGACCAGUCUCACUCCAAGACAGGAUUGACACGCAGCAAGUCCAUGGGCAGCCUUCAAAUCAAGGUGGUCUCCUUCCAGAGCUUGAAGGCCCGUUUUGAGUCAAAGGAGGACACACAGAAGAAGGUGACCAGCAAACAGUCAACCAGCAGGUCUGUGGAAGCCACACAGGAGAAGACAGCGGAGGCCAAACAGACAAAUGAUCCUCCUCUGGAAACUGAAAAACGUCCCCCAAAAUCUUUGAAGAUGAAAGGAGACAAGUGGGAGUCCCCACAAAUCAAGACGAGUUUGGUCCGUAGCAAGUCGACAGGGAGCCUUCGGAGCAGCUCUGGGUCCAUCGAGGCCCUCAGGGCUCGCUUUGAGUCCAAAGUGGACGCACAGAACAUGGCCCGAGGGGUCAAAAACAGCCCAGCCUCCAUCAAGCCAGCAGAAGUCCUGCAGGUGACAGACAGAGAGGCUGAAGGAAAGAGCCUGAAAGAAAAACCAAGGAGCCAAACUGCUGAUGUCCCACAGAAGGAGGGAAAAGAUGCUCCAUCAUCUCAGAAGGUGGUGACCAGGCCAAGAGGAGAGAUGAGGAAGACAAUAGCAGGCAUCGACUUUGAAAAGAUGGUAGCCAUUAAAGCUGGUGGGUAA